rnacentral:lncRNA from 1 species
AUGCGAACUUUGAGUAACAACCACCAUUUAUCAUUCUCCACUGAAGACAAAUCAUACCUCCGUGGGGCCGGCGCCGUGGCUCACUUGGCUAAUCCUCCGUCUGCGCGCCAGCAUCCCAUGUGGGCACCGGGUUCUAGUCCCAGUUGCUCCUCUUCCAGUCCAGCUCUCUGCUAUGGCCUGGGAGUGCAGUGGAGGAUGGCCCAAGUGCUUGGGCCCUGCACCCGCAUGGGAGACCGGAAGAAGCUCCUGGCUUCGGAUCGGCGCAGCACCAGCCGUGGCAGCCAUUUGGGGAGUGAACCAACGCAAGGAAAACCCUUCUGUCUCUCUCUGUCUAUAACUCUACCUGUCAAAAAAAGAAAGAAAGAAAGAAAGAAAGAAAGAAAGAAAGAAAGAAAGAAAGAAAGAAAGAAAGAAAGAAAGAUCAUACCUCUAAUUGGAACGUGAAUAUAUUUUAGGUAUUUCUCUUUUUUUCUCUGUUAUUAUUUUUACACCAAGGAGAUCAGACUAUAAAUCAAAUCUCAGGGCUCGUGCACUCACUCCCUUUCAAAGAAUUAUAACAAUAGUUAAUCCCUUCAUUGCUAAAAUACUGCAUAUGCCUGAGGCAGCAAGAAUGCCACAAAGAAAAAAAAUAUUGGCUAAGAACUCCACUCCCGACAGUGAGAAAAAUGUGGCAUUUUCUAAGUAGGAUCUUAGGAUUAUUUUAUUUAAUGGGUUGUAUUAUCAUCUGCAUGAAAUUUGCAAUCCCUUACAAUCUUAUACUUAAAAAUAUUGAAGCAAUUCAUCCAGUAUUUAUUUUUGCUAAAUAAGAAUCAUUAAGAUCCAGGAAAAAUAACUAGGUAUUCACUGCUUAAGGUUUCUAGUAUAUGAGAAAACUUAAUAUUGAUAUUCAAAUAUUCUAUUAAUAUUUUUAUUAUUAAAAACUUGUUUCCUUAUGUUGACUCAACAUCUACACAACCAAAGUAUCUACUAAUUUGAGACAAAUACGAUAUUAGGAAACAAGAAAAUGGAAAAAUCUUCCAUGCUCAUGGAUUGGAAGAAUCAACAUCAUCAAAAUGUCCAUUCUCCCAAAAGCAAUUUAGAGAUUCAAUAAGAUACCAAUCAAGAUACCAAAGACAUUCUUCUGAGAUCUGGAAAAAAUGAUGCUGAAAUUCAUAUGCAGGCACAGGAGACCUCGAAUAGCUAAAGCAAUCUUGUACAACAAAAACAAAGCUGGAGGCAUCACAAUACCAGAUUUCAGGACAUACUACAGGGCAGUUGUAAUCAAAACAGCAUGGUACUGGUACAGAAACAGAUGGAUAGACCAAUGGAACAGAAGAGAAACACCAGAAAUCAACCCAAACAUCUACAGCCAACUUAUAUUUGAUCAAGGAUCUAAAACCAAUUCCUGGAGCAAGGACAGUCUAUUCAAUAAAUGGUGCUGGGAAAACUGGAUUUCCA